rnacentral:rRNA from 1 species
UACGUAGGGCGCAAGCGUUAUCCGGAAUUAUUGGGCGUAAAGAGCUCGUAGGCGGUUUGUCGCGUCUGCCGUGAAAGUCCGGGGCUCAACUCCGGAUCUGCGGUGGGUACGGGCAGACUAGAGUGAUGUAGGGGAGACUGGAAUUCCUGGUGUAGCGGUGAAAUGCGCAGAUAUCGGGAGGAACACCGGUGGCGAAGGCGGGUCUCUGGGCAGUAACUGACGCUGAGGAGCGAAAGCGUGGGGAGCAAACAGG